UUAAAAACAGGCACAGAAGUAUGACUGCUAGCGUAACCCCCAGAAAAUGCUAGAGGGGAGCCUUUUGUCUCGGUGCAAGGGGCUUCAGAUAAAUCAGUUCUCUCUGUUGCACUGCUGUCAUGUUGCUGCUGCUUUACUCUACUCGUGGGGUACGGAGUCUUUUCCACUAUUUGGAAACCCACAUUCCCCACAUUUUUUUUCUUUUUCCUGGUUUGUGUUUAUACUCUGGUACAACUGUCAUAAUCCUACUGUCAAGAGGGCUGCCUUUCCCUUGUGGAUUAGGGAGACAAGCAGAGACUCCCAGAGAGCGGAGAAUGGGAACUCCUCACCUAAGGAGUCUCAGGUGGGACACUCAGCAGGUUACCAGCAGGGAAGCCCCCAUCGACAGGAUGAGCCUUGGGCAUCCUCAGACACUUUCUGCAGAUCACUUAGUCACAACUUCCUUGUGUGGAUCAACAGAACAAGGUCAGUGUCCCUACACCUGACAGAGAAAAUGAAGCUUGAAAUGGAGCGUUCUUGCUGGUGACAAUGGAAGUCAAAGACAGGAAAGCCCAGAGAAAUGAAGAUGAAAUCCUGCAAAUACAGCAGAUGCAGGCCCACUUUUUUCCAGCUGAUGGAGUUUUAUCAUGGACUUGCAACUUCAAAAAAAAAUCUCAGGUCCGGCAGACAUGUGAAUAUUAGCUAUAAUUUUUUACAAGUGAAUUGCUGAAACUUGUCAUUUCAGAGAGCAGUUAAAAAACAACUUCCAAGUAUUAAAAUCCCCAGCAUAUAAAUAAAAAUAAUGUGGCUAAUAA